UAACGCGUAUGCAAUCUACCUUGUACAGGGGAAUAGCCCAGAGAAAUUUGGAUUAAUGCCCCAUAGUAUAUAACCUUCGCAUGUUGGUUAUAUUAAAGUUCCAACGGUACAAGAUGAGCAUGCGUCCCAUUAGUUAGUUGGUAAGGUAACGGCUUACCAAGACGAUGAUGGGUAGGGGUCCUGAGAGGGAGAUCCCCCACACUGGUACUGAGACACGGACCAGACUCCUACGGGAGGCAGCAGUGAGGAAUAUUGGUCAAUGGUCGCAAGACUGAACCAGCCAUGCCGCGUGCAGGAAGACGGUCCUAUGGAUUGUAAACUGCUUUUAUACAGGAAGAAACCCUCCCACGUGUGGGAGCUUGACGGUACUGUAGGAAUAAGGAUCGGCUAACUCCGUG
rnacentral:rRNA from 1 species